GAGGGUGUAGCUCAAGUAACAGAGCACAUGCUUAGCAUGCAUGAGGUCCUGGGUUCAAUCCCUAGUACCUCCU
rnacentral:tRNA from 1 species